CGCAAGCCUGACGGAGCAAGACCGCGUGGGGGAGGAAGGCUCUUGGGUUGUAAACCCCUUUUCUCAGGGAAGAACAAAAUGACGGUACCAGAUGAAUAAGCCUCGGCUAACUCCGUGCCAGCAGCCGCGGUAAUACGGAGGAGGCAAGCGUUAUCCGGAUUUAUUGGGCGUAAAGCGUCCGCAGGUGGCGAUUCAAGUCUGCUGUCAAAGCACGGGGCUUAACUCCGUAAAGGCAGUGGAAACUGAAUAGCUAGAGUGCCGUAGGGGUAGAGGGAAUUCCCGGUGUAGCGGUGAAAUGCGUAGAUAUCGGGAAGAACACCAGUGGCGAAAGCGCUCUACUGGACUGCAACUGACACUGAGGGACGAAAGCUAGGGGAGCG
rnacentral:rRNA from 1 species